GAUGAACGCUAGCUACAGGCUUAACACAUGCAAGUCGAGGGGAAACGAUAUUGGAAGCUUGCUUCCGAUAGGCGUCGACCGGCGCACGGGUGAGUAACGCGUAUCCAACCCGCCCAUCACUUGGGGAUAACCUUGCGAAAGUAAGACUAAUACCCAAUGAUAUCUCUAGAAGACAUCUGAAAGGGAUUAAAGAUUUAUCGGUGAUGGAUGGUGAUGCGUCUGAUUAGCUUGUUGGCGGGGUAACGGCCCACCAAGGCGACGAUCAGUAGGGGUUCUGAGAGGAAGGUCCCCCACAUUGGAACUGAGACACGGUCCAAACUCCUACGGGAGGCAGCAGUGAGGAAUAUUGGUCAAUGGACGAGAGUCUGAACCAGCUAAGUAGCGUGCAGGAUGACGGCCCUAUGGGUUGUAAACUGCUUUUAUAAGGGAAUAAAGUGAGCCUCGUGAGGCUUUUUGCAUGUACCUUAUGAAUAAGGACCGGCUAAUUCCGUGCCAGCCGCCGCCGUAA
rnacentral:rRNA from 1 species